CGUCAUCUUGUCUUGCAGAUAUGCACCUGUGUGAGGAUUAGGACAGUGGCAACUCAAGAGGAGGCCAGGGCAACCAUAUUGACAACGCGGACUCAGCUUACCCUGGAGGCAGUCCCAAGGCCUUGGUGAUCCUCUCCCUUUUUUGAUGCCACGUCUCCAGUUCAAUUCCCCCAAGCAGAUUACUGUGAAGUGCCUCCACUUCAUCAUAUCAGCAUCGGCUCCAUCCGCGCGCUGUUGGAAGCAUGCCAAGGAUGAUUUAGUUCUGAGCGAGGGACCUCGCAGCCUACAGUCGGCUUGCAGGGCACCCAGAUAAGGAAGCGCAGAGGAAUGAUGAUUUAUCGAGUUGCAUCAUUUUGAGACAACCGAAAAGAUUGGAACUGUCACACCAGUUUUAUUCUUUUAACAGGAGGCGUGGAGUGGCCUGCUGUCUCUGCUGCAGUUCCAGAGUGAAGUACGGAAGCUCACUCUUUAUUAGGACCAGCGAUAUGAUGCUAACAAUCUGUGUGAUGGCGAGAAACUGCUACUCCGCACGAAAACCAUCUCCGAACGCAUGAAAUAUUUGUACUAAAGUCACUGAAUAUAUUGCCAAGAUAAUUUUCCCAACAUGUUAUUACUUUUCCUUCUGAGGAUGUUCACACCA